GUCUUCAUAGUUCAACGGAUAGAACAAAAGUUUCCUAAACUUUAGAUGUAGGUUCGAUUCCUACUGGAGAUA
rnacentral:tRNA from 1 species